GCUGAAGCCCAAAAUAAAUCUUAGCCUAAUAUCUUUUGUACACCCAGCUUAACCCGUGUAGCCUUUUCAUUCUUUGCAACAUAUGUCCUUAUCUUUGUGUGAAGGGCCAUUUUCUUUUCUUCUUUGUUCUUCGUCAGAGAUUUCAAUGUUGAUCGGAGAACCACCAUUAAUUAAUCCAACACCCCCCUCAAGUUGGAUGGGGAUGAAAGUACACCUAACUUGCCCAAUAAUUGGUGGUGGACAGGCCCAGUGAGCGAUUUAGUGAAGAGAUCGACAAGCUGUGAAGAAGAAGGAACAUAGGAGAGGGAAAUUAAACCGGCGAGAAAUUGCUGUCGCACAAAGUGACAGUCGAGUUCGACAUGUUUGGUCCUUUCGUGAAAAAUCAAAUUUUUGGCGAUGUGAAUUGUUACCUGGCUAUCGGAAUGGAGUGGUAUAGGCAAGGAAAUAGGGAUAGAGAGAUCAUCAAAGAGUCUUACCAACCAUGUGAGUUCAGCCACAACUCGUCGCAUUAAGCGAUAUUCAGCUUCUGCAGAACUGAGAGAUAUCGAGGUUUGCUUCUUAGAUUUCCAUGAUAUGGGAGAUGAACCAAGAGAUACAUAGAAGCCACUUACCGAUUUGCAGGAAUCUGGGAACUUUCCCUGAUCAGAAUCACAAAAUGCCAGAAGCUCAUAUGACGGUGAAGAAGUGAGAAACAAACCCAGAUCAGGAUCUUUGAGAAGGUAUCGAAAAACCUGAAGUGUAGCUUGGAGAUGAGGCAUUCGAGGAUCUUGCUUAUAUUGGCUCAGAUGUUGGACUGUGAAGGAUAAGUCGGGUCGAGUAUGAGUCAGAUAAUUUAACUUGCCCAGCAAAUGUCGAUAUAAAGUUGGGUCUAAAAUAGGAUCACCAGUAUUUGCUAAUAAAGAAAUUGUUGGAUCAAGAGGACAAGAUCUUUGGAGAACACUUGAAGAUAUCAAAUUCAUGGAGGAGAUCAAGAGUAAAAUUUCUCUGGGAAAGGAUCAAUCCCUGUGAUUCUCUCAACACUUCCAUACCUAAAAAAUAAUGUAAGUCCCCCAAAUCUUUGAUUUUGAAUUCCUGAUUUAAGAAAACCUUCAAAGCAUUCAAUUCAGCAAUGUCAUUACCAGUCAAAAUGAUAUCAUCGACAUGUAUGGCAACAAUAGAAAUAGAGGAGUUUGUUUUCUUAACAAACAAUGAGUAAUCAUUCAACGAGUGACUAUAACCUUUGAAAUUGAGAGCAGUGGUCAAUUUAGAAUACCACUAUCAAGAUGCUUGUCUACGUCUAUAAAGGGACUUUUUUAACUUGCAAACAUGAGAAGAUGAAAGGGAUGGGACUCCAGGGGGAAACUUCAUAUUAUCCUCCUCAUUUAAAUCACCAUGUAAAAAAGCAUUAUCUACGUCUAACUGAUAAAACCUCCAACCUUUUUUAACAGCAAUAGACAAAAUACAUCGAAUGAUAGUCAUCUUCACCACGGGGGAAAAUGUUUCUGUGAAAUCCACACCUUCUUGCUGUAUGUCACCCUUAUGACUAGUCUUGCUUUCAGUCGUUCAACACUGCCAUCAGAAUGAUGUUGCACUUUAUAAACCCAUUUACAUGGUAGUGCUUUUCUGUCAAGAGGCAACAUAACCACUUCCCAGGUCUUGUUAAGUUCAAGGGCAGUUAUUUCUUUUGCCAUGGCUUCAAGCCAUCCUGGGUGGUGAACUGCCUGUGCAUAACUAGUGGGUUCUUGAAUAUUUGACAAAGAAUUAAGCAACAUUUGAUUAGAAUUAGAUAAUCCAAAAAAAAGAAAGACUAGGAGGAGUUACAGGGGAAAAGUAACAUGAAAAGGUAAUAUCAGUAAGUUGGAUGGCGUUGCAUAUGUAGUCUUUGAGGUAAGAUGGUUCCUUAUGAGUUCUAGCAGAUUUUCUAAGAAUAGUCUCAAUGACAGGAGUGGAAGGUUCAGUAAUAAAAGGAGUUGGAGAAGGAAGAUUAGUAAGAGGAAUAGGAGACUGAGAAUUGGAAAGAGAGUUCGGAGAAGCAGAGAUAGAAGAAUUAGGAGAAAGAGGUCCAUUCUGAUGGGAAAUGAUAGGACUAUGAGAAGUUGUUGAAGAAGAUGGUGGAAUAAGUGGUGAUGGAGAUACAGUAGGUGAUGAACUAGGUACAGAAGAGGUAGAUGUAGGAAACAAAGGAGGGUAGUGUUAAGAGAAUGUAUAGUAGCAAAUGGAAAAAAGCCUUCAUGGAACACAACAUCCCUUGAAAUGGAAAUUUUGAAAGUUUGAAUAUCUAAAACCUUGUAUCCUUUAUUGCCAUGGGGAUAACCUAAGAAAAUGCAGGGAACUGCCUUUGGUUGAAUUUUGGUUCUGUGUCUUGAUAAAGUGGAAACAAAGAAAAGGCAACCAAAACACCUUAAGGAAGAAUAAUUAGGUUUAGAUUGAAAAAGAAGCUCAUAGGGAGUUUUCAGUUGCAUGACUUGAGAUGGAAAUCUAUUUAUGAGAUAAGUGGCAGUAAGAAUGCAAUGUACGCAAUAUUUUAUAGGUAAAUGUGAUUGAAAAAGCAAUGCCCUAGCAGUGUCUAGUAAGUGUUUAUGUUUUCUCUCCACAACCCCAUUUUGUUGUGGAGUUGAUACACAGCUGGUUUGAUGCAAAAUACCUUGAUAUUGAAAAAAUUCUGAUUGAAAUCUUAUUUUUUGAACUUUGGUUUGAAAUUAUCUUUCCACCAUACUUAGGAAGGACUUUAAAACAGAAAAGGCAUUGGAUUUGUUACUUAGAAGAAAAGUCCAUGUUCCCCUACUAUAGUCAUCUACAAUGGUGAGGAAAAACUUAAAACCAUCAUGUGUUGGAGUUUUAGGGUCCCUAAACAUCUAUGUGAAUUAGUUCAAAAAUUUGCUUAGUAGAUAUUGAACUUUUAGGAAAAUGCAGUUUGGAUUGUCUAGCCAUACGACAAAUGAUACAAGGAAUAGAAAA